GCUCCGGUGGCCUAGUGGUUAGAGCAUCCGCAUUGGAUGCGGGAGGUCGUGGGCUCAAUCCCCGGUCGAUUCA